GAUGAACGCUGGCGGCGUGCUUAACACAUGCAAGUCGAACGGAAAGGCCAGUGCUUGCACUGGUGCUCGAGUGGCGAACGGGUAAGUAACACGUGGGUGAUCUGCCCUGCACUUUGGGAUAAGCCUGGGAAACUGGGUCUAAUACCAGAUAGGACCAUGCUUUGGAUGGUGUGGUGGAAAGUUUUUUCGGUGUGGGAUGAGCUUGCGGCCUAUCAGCUUGUUGGUGGGGUAAUGGCCUACCAAGGCGUCGACGGGUAGCCGGCCUGAGAGGGUGUACGGCCACAUUGGGACUGAGAUACGGCCCAGACUCCUACGGGAGGCAGCAGUGGGGAAUAUUGCACAAUGGGCGCAAGCCUGAUGCAGCGACGCCGCGUGGGGGAUGACGGCCUUCGGGUUGUAAACUCCUUUCGCAACUGACGAAGCUUUUUGUGACGGUAGGUUGAGAAGAAGCACCGGCUAACUACGUG
rnacentral:rRNA from 1 species